rnacentral:rRNA from 1 species
CCAAUAGCGUAUAUUAAAGUUGUUGCAGUUAAAAAGCUCGUAGUUGAAUUUCGGGGUUAGUAGGUUGGUCAUGCCUCUGGUAUGUACUGGUCUCACUGAUUCCUCCUUCCUGAUGAGCCGUAAUGCCAUUAAUUUGGUGUUGCGGGGAAUUUGGACUGUUACUUUGAAAAAAUUAGAGUGUUUAAAGCAAGCUAACGCUUGAAUACAUUAGCAUGGAAUAAUGAAAUAGGACGUUCGAUCCUAUUUUGUUGGUUUUUAGGUUUGACGUAAUGAUUAAUAGGGAUAGUUGGGGGCAUUAGUAUUCAAUUGUCAGAGGUGAAAUUCUUGGAUUUAUUGAAGACUAACUACUGCGAAAGCAUUUGCCAAGGAUGUUUUCAUUAAUCAAGAACGAAAGUUAGGGGAUCGAAGACGAUCAGAUACCGUCGUAGUCUUAACCAUAAACUAUGCCGACUAGGGAUCGGGUGAUCUCACUUAUUAUGUAUCACUCGGCACCUUACG